AUGCAGGGCCACAGGGUUUAUUCCGUUCACUGGACUAUUGCUGUUGAAAUUACUAGCGAGAGUUCUGUGUACCAUGCAGGGGAGAGUGAUACAGACUCAUUUGAAGAUGAUCCUGAAAUUUCCUUAGCUGAUUAUUGGAAGUGUACUUCGUGCAAUGAAAUGAAUCCUCCCCGGCCAUCACAUUGCAACAGAUGUUGGGCCCUUCGUGAGAAUUGGCUUCCUGAAGACAAAGGGAAAGAAAAAGGAAGCAUGCCUGAGAAAACCAAACUAGAAAACCCAACACAAGUAGAAGAGGGCUUUGAUGUCCCUGAUUGUAAAAAAAGUACAGUGAGUGAUUCCCAAGAAUCAUGUGUUGAGGAAAAUGAUGAAAAGAUCACACAAGCCUCCUUAUCCCAAGAAAGUGAGGACUAUUCUCAGCCAUCGACUUCUGGUAGCAUCAUUUAUAGCAGCCAAGAAGAUGUCAGAGAGUAUGAGAGGGAAGAAACACAAGACAAAGAAUGUGUGGAUUCUAAUUUUCCCAAUAAUGCCAUCGAACCUUGUGUGAUUUGCCAAGGCCGACCUAAAAAUGGUUGCAUUGUCCAUGGCAAAACAGGACAUCUUAUGGCAUGCUUUACAUGUGCAAAAAAGCUAAAAAAAAGAAAUAAGCCCUGUCCAGUGUGUAGACAACCAAUUCAAAUGAUUGUGCUAACUUAA